CCUACGGGUGGCUGCAGUGGGGAAUAUUGGACAAUGGUGGCAACCCUGAUCCAGCCAUGCCGCGUGUGUGAAGAAGGCCCUCGGGUUGUAAAGCACUUUCAGUGAGGAAGAACGCCUGGUGGUUAAUACCCAUCAGGAAAGACAUCACUCACAGAAGAAGCACCGGCUAACUCCGUGCCAGCAGCCGCGGUAAUACGGAGGGGGCGAGCGUUAAUCGGAAUUACUGGGCGUAAAGCGCGCGUAGGUGGCUUGAUAAGCCGGUUGUGAAAGCCCCGGGCUCAACCUGGGAACGGCAUCCGGAAGUGUCGAGCUAGAGUGCAGGAGAGGAAGGUAGAAUUCCCGGUGUAGCGGUGAAAGGCGUAGAGAUCGGGAGGAAUACCAGUGGCGAAGGCGGCCUUCUGGACUGACACUGACACUGAGGUGCGAAAGCGUGGGUAGCAAACAGGAUUAGAGACCCGUGUAGUC
rnacentral:rRNA from 1 species